rnacentral:rRNA from 1 species
ACGGACUUCGGUCUGGUGGCGAGUGGCGAACGGGUGAGUAAUAUAUCGGAACGUACCUUUCAGUGGGGGAUAACGUAGCGAAAGUUACGCUAAUACCGCAUAUUCUGUGAGCAGGAAAGCAGGGGAUCGCAAGACCUUGCGCUGAUUGAGCGGCCGAUAUCAGAUUAGCUAGUUGGUGAGGUAAAGGCUCACCAAGGCGACGAUCUGUAGCGGGUCUGAGAGGAUGAUCCGCCACACUGGAACUGAGACACGGUCCAGACUCCUACGGGAGGCAGCAGUGGGGAAUUUUGGACAAUGGGGGCAACCCUGAUCCAGCCAUGCCGCGUGAGUGAAGAAGGCCUUCGGGUUGUAAAGCUCUUUCGGCCGGGAAGAAAUCGCAUUGGUUAAUACCCAGUGUGGAUGACGGUACCGGAAUAAGAAGCACCGGCUAACUACGUGCCAGCAGCCGCGGUAAUACGUAGGGUGCGAGCGUUAAUCGGAAUUACUGGGCGUAAAGCGUGCGCAGGCGGUUUUGUAAGACAGGCGUGAAAUCCCCGGGCUCAACCUGGGAACUGCGUUUGUGACUGCAAGGCUAGAGUAUGGCAGAGGGGGGUGGAAUUCCACGUGUAGCAGCGAAAUGCGUAGAGAUGUGGAGGAACACCGAUGGCGAAGGCAGCCCCCUGGGCCAAUACUGACGCUCAUGCACGAAAGCGUGGGUAGCAAACAGGAUUAGAUACCCUGGUAGUCCACGCCCUAAACGAUGUCAACUAGGUGUUGGGUGGGUAAAACCAUUUAGUACCGGAGCUAACGCGUGAAGUGACCGCC